rnacentral:rRNA from 1 species
CGGUGUUCAACUGGCGUGUCCGCGGGACGUCCUGCCGGUGGGCUUAGCCCGCAAGGGCGGCCCAACUUCAAAUCCCAUCGCGGUGCUCUUCACUGAGUGUCGAGGUGGGCCGGCACGUUUACUUUGAACAAAUUAGAGUGCUUAAAGCAGGCUAAAACUUCGCCUGAACACUGUGUGCAUGGAAUAAUGGAAUAGGACCUCGGUUCUAUUUUGUUGGUUUUCGGAACCCCGAGGUAAUGAUUAAUAGGAACGGAUGGGGGCAAUCGUAUUGCGACGUUAGAGGUGAAAUUCUUGGAUCGUCGCAAGACGGACAGAAGCGAAAGCAUUUGCCAAAAACGCUUUCAUUGAUCAAGAACGAAAGUUAGAGGUUCGAAGGCGAUCAGAUACCGCCCUAGUUCUAACCAUAAACGAUGCCAGCUUGCGAUCCGUCGACGUUCCUCCGAUGACUCGACAGGCAGCUUCCGGGAAACCAAAGCUUUUGGGUUCCGGGGGAAGUAUGGUUGCAAAGCUGAAACUUAAAGGAAUUGACGGAAGGGUACCACCAGGAGUGGAGCCUGCGGCUUAAUUUGACUCAACACGGGAAACCUCACCAGGCCCGGACACCGGAAGGAUUGACAGAUUGAGAGCUCUUUCUUGAUUCGGUGGGUGGUGGUGCAUGGCCGUUCUUAGUUGGUGGAGCGAUUUGUCUGGUUAAUUCCGAUAACGAACGAGACUCUAGCCUGCUAACUAGGCGUAUUUUCGACAUCUCAAAGGUCCGUCGUCCCGGCCCUCGGGUCGUGGGCGUGCGCGAUUUUUACUGUCGGCGUACUAUCAAUUCUUCUUAGAGGGACAGGUGGCUUCUAGCCGCACGAGAUUGAGCAAUAACAGGUCUGUGAUG